rnacentral:rRNA from 1 species
AUGCAAAUUCUUCAAGAGCGCAAUCAAGGCAGUCAAGGGAAUCAAGGCAGCAAUCAGAGUCACUUUGCUACGCUCAACCAGUUCCUUGCUAACGGGCCAAAGACUUUCAGCAAUUGUGUUGAGGCAACCGAUGCUGACGAUUGGCUUGUGGAUCUGUGCAAGCAUUUCGAGUGCAGUAACGUCAGGCCUGAGGACUUUGUCAAGUUCGCUUCCUUCCAACUCAAAGAUCAAGCUGCAGAAUGGUUCCAGCAGUACAAGGAUUCCAGAGGUGGACGUGUUAUCACUUGGGAGGAUUUCCGUCGAGAUUUCCAAGCUCAUCAUAUUCCGCAGAGCGUGGUUGAAAGUAAGCGUGAGGAAUUCCGCAAUCUGAAGCAAGGCUCUUUGUCUGUCUAUGACUACAACAAGUUGUUCCAGAAGCUCGCCCGCUUUGCCAAGUAG